AUUCUUCGGGGCAGGGUGUAAUUCCCGAUCGGCGGUAAAGUCCGCGAGCGUAGUUAUGCGCAGAUUUGGUUAGAUUCCAAAACCGACAGUUAAAGUCUGGAUGAAAGAAGA
rnacentral:ncRNA from 1 species